GAUGAACGCUGGCGGCGUGCCUAAUACAUGCAAGUCGAGCGAACGGACGAGAAGCUUGCUUCUCUGAUGUUAGCGGCGGACGGGUGAGUAACACGUGGAUAACCUACCUAUAAGACUGGGAUAACUUCGGGAAACCGGAGCUAAUACCGGAUAAUAUUUUGAACCGCAUGGUUCAAAAGUGAAAGACGGUCUUGCUGUCACUUAUAGAUGGAUCCGCGCUGCAUUAGCUAGUUGGUAAGGUAACGGCUUACCAAGGCAACGAUGCAUAGCCGACCUGAGAGGGUGAUCGGCCGCACUGGAACUGAGACACGGUCCAGACUCCUACGGGAGGCAGCAGUAGGGAAUCUUCCGCAAUGGGCGAAAGCCUGACGGAGCAACGCCGCGUGAGUGAUGAAGGUCUUCGGAUCGUAAAACUCUGUUAUUAGGGAAGAACAUAUGUGUAAGUAACUGUGCACAUCUUGACGGUACCUAAUCAGAAAGCCACGGCUAACUACGUGCCAGCAGCCGCGGUAAUACGUAGGUGGCAAGCGUUAUCCGGAAUUAUUGGGCGUAAAGCGCGCGUAGGCGGUUUUUUAAGUCUGAUGUGAAAGCCCACGGCUCAACCGUGGAGGGUCAUUGGAAACUGGAAAACUUGAGUGCAGAAGAGGAAAGUGGAAUUCCAUGUGUAGCGGUGAAAUGCGCAGAGAUAUGGAGGAACACCAGUGGCGAAGGCGACUUUCUGGUCUGUAACUGACGCUGAUGUGCGAAAGCGUGGGGAUCAAACAGGAUUAGAUACCCUGGUAGUCCACGCCGUAAACGAUGAGUGCUAAGUGUUAGGGGGUUUCCGCCCCUUAGUGCUGCAGCUAACGCAUUAAGCACUCCGCCUGGGGAGUACGACCGCAAGGUUGAAACUCAAAGGAAUUGACGGGGACCCGCACAAGCGGUGGAGCAUGUGGUUUAAUUCGAAGCAACGCGAAGAACCUUACCAAAUCUUGACAUCCUUUGACAACUCUAGAGGUAGAGCUUUCCCCUUCGGGGGACAAAGUGACAGGUGGUGCAUGGUUGUCGUCAGCUCGUGUCGUGAGAUGUUGGGUUAAGUCCCGCAACGAGCGCAACCCUUAAGCUUAGUUGCCAUCAUUAAGUUGGGCACUCUAAGUUGACUGCCGGUGACAAACCGGAGGAAGGUGGGGAUGACGUCAAAUCAUCAUGCCCCUUAUGAUUUGGGCUACACACGUGCUACAAUGGACAAUACAAAGGGCAGCGAAACCGCGAGGUCAAGCAAAUCCCAUAAAGUUGUUCUCAGUUCGGAUUGUAGUCUGCAACUCGACUACAUGAAGCUGGAAUCGCUAGUAAUCGUAGAUCAGCAUGCUACGGUGAAUACGUUCCCGGGUCU
rnacentral:rRNA from 1 species